AACGAACGCUGGCGGCAGGCUUAACACAUGCAAGUCGAGCGCCCCGCAAGGGGAGCGGCAGACGGGUGAGUAACGCGUGGGAAUCUACCCAUCUCUACGGAAUAACGCAUGGAAACGUGUGCUAAUACCGUAUACGUCCUUCGGGAGAAAGAUUUAUCGGAGAUGGAUGAGCCCGCGUGCGAUUAGGUGGUUGGUGGGGUAAAGGCCUACCAAGGCGACGAUCCAUAGCUGGUCUGAGAGGAUGAUCAGCCACACUGGGACUGAGACACGGCCCAGACUCCUACGGGAGGCAGCAGUGGGGGAUAUUGGACAAUGGGCGAAAGCCUGAUGCAGCCACGCCGCGGGGGGGAUGAAGGCCCUAGGGUUGUAAAGCGCUUUCGCCGGUGAAGAUGAUGACGGUAACCGGAGAAGAAGCCCCGGCUAACUUCGUGCCAGCCGCCGCCGUAAGAC
rnacentral:rRNA from 1 species